AGAGUUUGAUCAUGGCUCAGGACGAACGCUGGCGGCGCGCCUAACACAUGCAAGUCGAACGAGAGAUGAGGAGCUUGCUCUCAAAUCGAGUGGCGAACGGGUGAGUAACGCGUGAGGAACCUGCCUCAAAGAGGGGGACAACAGUUGGAAACGACUGCUAAUACCGCAUAAGCCCACGGCUCGGCAUCGAGCAGAGGGAAAAGGAGUGAAUCCGUCUUUGAGAUGGCCUCGGCGUCCGAUUAGCUAGUUGGUGAGGUAACGGCCCACCAAGGCAACGAUCGGUAGCCGGACUGAGAGGUUGAACGGCCACAUUGGGACUGAGACACGGCCCAGACUCCUACGGGAGGCAGCA
rnacentral:rRNA from 1 species